UACGUAGGGCGCAAGCGUUGUCCGGAAUUAUUGGGCGUAAAGGGCUCGUAGGCGGUUUGUCACGUCGGGAGUGAAAACUCGGGGCUUAACUCCGAGCCUGCUUCCGAUACGGGCUGACUAGAGGUAUGCAGGGGAGAACGGAAUUCCUGGUGUAGCGGUGAAAUGCGCAGAUAUCAGGAGGAACACCGGUGGCGAAGGCGGUUCUCUGGGCAUUACCUGACGCUGAGGAGCGAAAGUGUGGGGAGCGAACAGG
rnacentral:rRNA from 1 species